UGAGCCUUCUCCAGAGCCCUGCCUUGCUAAGACAUGGAUCUUACCAAAAAAGAAGGGACACGUGAAGAGAGGAGGAGGAGGAGGAGCCAGGAUGCCAUGCUGCCAGUGCUGCCCCUGACCAGCUGCAUCUCCUAACUUUGGGGCUGCUGUUACAUGUCUCUGGAACCAGUCUGGGAGCCAGGACCACUGAGACCUGUGCAGGAGUCCCGAGCCUGCCUUGUACCAGCACCCACAGCUGUCUGAAGCAUGGACACCUGGCAGGUGGCAUCCUCUUCCUAGUCAUGGUGCUUAUGGACUCCCCCAAUGUCUGGUGUGCGAGCAGCUGACCUUGCUCUGAAGACUCUGCUCCUUCCAGCAUCAAAUGGCAUUUAGCUAUUACUGCAAGACCUCAUCUUGUCUGCCUGGAUCCAAACGAGAGAGGACAUGAGCAAUUACCUCUACAAACAAAGUAACCACUAAAAGCCUGAGGAAAAUAGAUGUCAGAGCUGGGAUUAAAGUCCUAAGGAAUGUGGAGUUGCAGGGAAAAGACUUCAUUCAGGGAUGGAACUUGGCAAAGUCCACGCUCAGCAACAGGAGAGAGGAAGAGGGAAAACAGAGAAAGCAUGUUCAGAAAUGAGCCUCAGCUCCAGUGCGAGAAGUGUGGCUGCCUGCUGGCCAUGUCUGCAGGCACCGUGGCACUCCGGGCAGAGCUGAGCUGCUCUGUUUGCUUUUCUGCCUCUCAGUUCUUUGGCACCAUUCUAGCCACAAAACAUUCACCACAGCACUCCUGCCACUCCAAGCACAGUGUGCUGCUCACACUCUUCAGCCUUCUCCUUCUGCCGACCUCCAGGCUUCAUUUUUCAGGUGAAAGCAGGCAAAGUUUGGGUUUGUUUUGUGUGAGGAAAGCAUCCAGCCCAGGAGCAGAGCUGUCCUGAUUGAUAGGUCCUGCAUCCAUCAGCCGGGUCACAGGGACUAUGAGUCAGGGAUCCUUCUGCCCUGUGUCAGCGUUUUCCUUCCCCACCGCUUGAGCCUCUGCAUUGCAGAAACAGGAUGCUGGGGAGCACACUACAGAAAAUUGUGCUAACUCCUUGGUUCCCUCCAUCACCACAGUGUCACAUGAGGAGGCACAAUGUGACAUCUUGAUGUAUUGCUUAUAGCCUUCUAUAAGGUAAA